UUUUAAUGGAGAGUUUGAUCCUGGCUCAGGACGAACGCUGGCGGCGUGCCUAAUACAUGCAAGUCGAGCGGA
rnacentral:rRNA from 1 species